UACGUAGGGUGCGAGCGUUGUCCGGAAUUAUUGGGCGUAAAGAGCUCGUAGGCGGUCUGUCGCGUCGGUCGUGAAAACUUGGGGCUUAACCCUGAGCUUGCGGUCGAUACGGGCAUGACUGGAGUUCGGCAGGGGAGACUGGAAUUCCUGGUGUAGCGGUGAAAUGCGCAGAUAUCGGGAGGAACACCAGUGGCGAAAGCGGCUACCUGGCCCAUUCUUGACGCUGAGGCGCGAAAGCUAGGGGAGCAAACGGG
rnacentral:rRNA from 1 species